ACCAUGGACGACUAGUGGUUAGGCCACAGCGCUCUCACUGGUGCGGCCUGGGUUCGAUUCCCAGCCAGGGAA
rnacentral:tRNA from 1 species